UACGUAGGGUGCGAGCGUUGCCCGGAUUUAUUGGGCGUAAAGAGCUCGUAGGCGGUGUGUCGCGUCGGCCGUGAAAACCUGCAGCUUAACUGUGGGCUUGCGGUCGAUACGGGCAUCACUGGAGUUCGGCAGGGGAGACUGGAAUUCCUGGUGUAGCGGUGAAAUGCGCAGAUAUCAGGAGGAACACCGGUGGCGAAGGCGGGUCUCUGGGCCGAUACUGACGCUGAGGAGCGAAAGCGUGGGGAGCGAACAGG
rnacentral:rRNA from 1 species